rnacentral:rRNA from 1 species
UACGAAGGGGGGCUAGCGUUGCUCGGAAUCACUGGGCGUAAAGGGCGCGUAGGCGGGCUCUUAAGUCAGGGGUGAAAGCCCAAGGCUCAACCUUGGAAUUGCCUUUGAUACUGAGGGCCUUGAGACCGGAAGGAGGUCGGCGGAACUGCGAGUGUAGAGGUGAAAUUCGUAGAUAUUCGCAAGAACACCAGUGGCGAAGGCGGCCGACUGGUCCGGUUCUGACGCUGAG